rnacentral:rRNA from 1 species
AUGAACGCUGGCGGCGUGCCUAAUACAUGCAAGUAGAACGCUGAAGGAAGGAGCUUGCUCUUUCCGGAUGAGUUGCGAACGGGUGAGUAACGCGUAGGUAACCUGCCUGGUAGCGGGGGAUACCUAUUGGAAACGAUAGCUAAUACCGCAUAACAGUAGAUGUUGCAUGACAACUACUUGACAGGGGCAAUUGCUCCACUACCAGAUGGAUCUGCGUUGUAUUAGCUAGUUGGUGGGGUAACGGCUCACCAAGGCGACGAUACAUAGCCGACCUGAGAGGGUGGACGGCCACACUGGGAAUGGAACACGGCCCAGACUCCUACGGGAGGCAGCAGUAGGGAAUCUUCGGCAAUGGACGGAAGUCUGACCGAGCAACGCCGCGUGAGUGAAGAAGGUUUUCGGAUCGUAAAGCUCUGUUGUGAUAGAAGAACGAGUAUGAGGGUGGAAAGUUCACACUGUGACGGUAUCUUACCAGAAAGGGACGGCUAACUACGUG